rnacentral:rRNA from 1 species
GUGAGGAAUAUUGGUCAAUGGGCGGAAGCCUGAACCAGCCAAGUAGCGUGCAGGAUGACGGCCCUAUGGGUUGUAAACUGCUUUUGAAGGGGAGUAAAGUGAGUGACUUGUCAUUCAUUGCAAGUACCCUUGGAAUAAGGACCGGCUAAUUCCGUGCCAGCAGCCGCGGUAAUACGGAAGGUCCGGGCGUUAUCCGGAUUUAUUGGGUUUAAAGGGAGCGUAGGCUGCCCGGCAAGCGUGCUGUGAAAUACAGUGGCCCAACCACUGGACUGCAGCGCGAACUGUCGGGCUUGAGGGCGCACGACGCAGGCGGAAUUUGUGGUGUAGCGGUGAAAUGCUUAGAUAUCACGAAGAACCCCGAUUGCGAAGGCAGCUUGUGGGAGCGCGACUGACGCUGAAGCUCGAAAGUGCGGGUAUCAAACAGGAUUAGAAACCCCAGUAGUCC